rnacentral:rRNA from 1 species
AGUGAGCGGCAAAAGCUCAAUUUGAAAUCUAGCACCUUCGGUGUUCGAGUUGUAAUUUGAAGAUGGUAACCUUGGGUUUGGCUCUUGUCUAUGUUCCUUGGAACAGGACGUCAUAGAGGGUGAGAAUCCCGUCUGAUGAGAUGCCCAUUCCUAUGUAAGGUGCUAUCGAAGAGUCGAGUUGUUUG